rnacentral:rRNA from 1 species
UCCAGACUCCUACGGGAGGCAGCAGUGGGGAAUAUUGCACAAUGGGGGGAACCCUGAUGCAGCGACGCCGGGUGGGUGAAGGAGCGUUUCGGCGCGUAAAGCCCUGUCAGCAGGGAAGAAAAUGACGGUACCUGAAGAAGAAGCCCCGGCUAACUACGUGCCAGCAGCCGCGGUAAUACGUAGGGGGCAAGCGUUAUCCGGAUUUACUGGGUGUAAAGGGGGCGCAGACGGCGAUGCAAGCCAGGAGUGAAAGCCCGGGGCCCAACCCCGGGACUGCUCUUGGAACUGCGUGGCUGGAGUGCAGGAGGGGCAGGCGGAAUUCCUGGUGUAGCGGUGAAAUGCGUAGAUAUCAGGAGGAACACCGGUGGCGAAGGCGGCCUGCUGGACUGCAACUGACGUUGAGGCCCGAAAGCGUGGGGAGCAAACAGGAUUAGAUACCCCAGUAC